rnacentral:rRNA from 1 species
CGAACGCUGGCGGCAGGCUUAACACAUGCAAGUCGAGCGAGAUCUUCGGAUCUAGCGGCGGACGGGUGAGUAACGCGUGGGAACGUGCCCUUUGCUACGGAAUAGUCCCGGGAAACUGGGUUUAAUACCGUAUACGCCCUUCGGGGGAAAGAUUUAUCGGCAAAGGAUCGGCCCGCGUUGGAUUAGGUAGUUGGUGGGGUAAUGGCCUACCAAGCCGACGAUCCAUAGCUGGUUUGAGAGGAUGAUCAGCCACACUGGGACUGAGACACGGCCCAGACUCCUACGGGAGGCAGCAGUGGGGAAUUUAGACAAUGGGGGCAACCCUGAUCUAACCAUGCCGCGUGAGUGAUGAAGGCCUUAGGGUUGUAAAGCUCUUCAGCUGGGAAGAUAAUGA